rnacentral:rRNA from 1 species
ACGGGAGGCAGCAGUGAGGAAUAUUGGUCAAUGGUCGGCAGACUGAACCAGCCAAGUCGCGUGAGGGAAGACGGCCCUACGGGUUGUAAACCUCUUUUGUCGGAGAGUAAAGUACGCUACGUGUAGCGUAUUGCAAGUAUCCGAAGAAAAAGCAUCGGCUAACUCCGUGCCAGCAGCCGCGGUAAUACGGAGGAUGCAAGCGUUAUCCGGAUUUAUUGGGUUUAAAGGGUGCGUAGGCGGCACGCCAAGUCAGCGGUGAAAUUUCCGGGCUCAACCCGGACUGUGCCGUUGAAACUGGCGAGCUAGAGUGCACAAGAGGCAGGCGGAAUGCGUGGUGUAGCGGUGAAAUGCAUAGAUAUCACGCAGAACCCCGAUUGCGAAGGCAGCCUGCUAGGGUGCGACAGACGCUGAGGCACGAAAGCGUGGGUAUCGAACAGGAUUAGAUACCCUGGUAGUCCACGCAGUAAACGAUGAAUACUAACUGUUUGCGAUACAAUGUAAGCGGUACAGCGAAAGCGUUAAGUAUUCCACC